GAUAAGAACGUAGCGAAAUGCGAUAAGUAGUGUGAAUUGCAGAAUUCAGUGAAUCAUCGAAUCUUUGAACGCACAUUGCGCCCCUUGGUAUUCCAUGGGGCAUGCCUGUUCGAGCGUCAUUUGUACCUUCAAGCUCUGCUUGGUGUUGGGUGUUUGUCUCGCCUCUGCGCGUAGACUCGCCUCAAAACAAUUGGCAGCCGGCGUAUUGAUUUCGGAGCGCAGUACAUCUCGCGCUUUGCACUCAUAACGACGACGUCCAAAAGUACAUUUUUACACUCUUGACCUCGGAUCAGGUAGGGAUACCCGCUGAACUUAAGCAUAUCAAUAAGCGGAGGA
rnacentral:misc_RNA from 1 species